rnacentral:lncRNA from 1 species
CUCUAGUACUUCUCAAGUAUUAUGAGAAUAUUUUUUCAUAAUUUUCAUAAGAUUCUAUCAUGGAUCUACCUGAAAUCAAUGAUUAUGCAUAAGGCAUAAUUCAUAUCAGGCUUAGUAUAUUGAAUGUAUGGAUAAGUAAAUACUUUUACACCCAUUCAUGUUGAACCCUUUCAACAUUAAAUUCUAUGUACUGAGACUAGGACAAGCCCUGCAUCCACUUACACC